GGAGGGUUGGCAGAGCGGACGAUUGCGUUGGUCUUGAAAACCAAUGAUCCUAACGGAUCCGCGGGUUCAAAUCCCGCACCCUCCGCCA
rnacentral:tRNA from 2 species